rnacentral:rRNA from 1 species
GACAGAGGGGGCAAGCGUUGCUCGGAAUUACUGGGCGUAAAGGGCGCGUAGGCGGGAUGGCAAGUCGGUCGUGAAAUCCCUCGGCUCAACCGAGGAACGUCGAUCGAUACUGCUGUUCUUGGGGAUUGCAGAGGAGACUGGAAUUCCCGGUGUAGCGGUGAAAUGUGUAGAGAUCGGGAGGAACACCGGUGGCGAAGGCGGGUCUCUGGGCAAUUCCUGACGCUGAGGCGCGAAAGCGUGGGGAGCAAACGGG